rnacentral:rRNA from 1 species
GACGAACGCUGGCGGCGUGCUUAACACAUGCAAGUCGAACGGAAAGGCCCUGCUUUUGUCGGGUGCUCGAGUGGCGAACGGGUGAGUAACACGUGAGUAACCUGCCCUUGACUGUGGGAUAACUACAGGAAACUGGGGCUAAUACCGGAUAGGAGCUCAUGCUGCAUGGUGUGGGUUGGAAAGUUUCGGCGGCUGGGGAUGGACGCGCGGCUUAUUAGCUUGUUGGUGGGGUAGUGGUUUACCAAUGCUUUGACGGGUAGCCGGCCUGAGAGGGUGACCGGCCACAUUGGGACUGAGAUACGGCCCAGACUCCUACGGGAGGCAGCAGUGGGGAAUAUUGCACAAUGGGCGGAAGCCUGAUGCAGCAACGCCGCGUGCGGGAUGACGGCCUUCGGGGUGUAAACCGCUUUCGCCUGUGACGAAGCGUGAGUGACGGUAAUGGGUAAAGAAGCACCGGCUAACUACGUG